UGUUGGGUUAAGUCCCGCAACGAGCGCAACCCUUGAUGUUAGUUGCCAGCAUUCAGUUGGGCACUCUAAGGUGACUGCCGGUGACAAACCGGAGGAAGGUGGGGAUGACGUCAAAUCAUCAUGCCCUUUAUGACCUGGGCUACACACGUGCUACAAUGGAUGGUACAAAGAGUCGCGAACCCGCGAGGGCAAGCCAAUCUCAUAAAGCCACUCUCAGUUCGGAUUGCAGUCUGCAACUCGCUCGCAUGAAGCCGGAAUCGCUAGUAAUCGCGGAUCAGCAUGCCGCGGUGAAUACGUUCCCGGGCCUUGUACACACCGCCCGUCACACCACGAGAGUGGGUAACACCAGAAGUCGGUGAGGUAACCUCAAGGAACCAGCCGCCUAAGGUGGGACAGAUGAUUGGGGUGAAGUCGUAACAAGGUAAGCCAA
rnacentral:rRNA from 1 species